UUUGAUAAAUAAGUCUUCACAUUUAAUGAUAGUCACAGACACGACAACACAAAUUAAUUAAAUGAAACAAAACGACUAAAUUGACAAGUUUUUUUCAAAGUUAGAAACAAGAAAUACACAUUCAUUCAAAUCUAUUUAAUAAAAUCUACAACUUUCCAAAUCAAAUCAUUAACAUCUAAAGGGUUCAUAGUUCUAUUCAAUCAAUCCAAAUCCACAAUCAAAAUGUUUUAAAAUGUCUCGUCUCGAGAGGAAAAAAACUCAAGUAGGCCUAUUUUUUUUGUGGUAAUAUUUCAUACAAACAUGAUUUCAUGCGACAUCAACAAAAAAAACAAAUUCUCAGUCAAACACAGCCCCCCCUUUAUGAUCUUAUUGUAGGUGUCCUGGAAAAUGUGGUCUUAUCUUCCCCUGUGUGCUCCCUCUGAUGUGUUGUCAGGUUUCCUAACUGGGUAAAACAUUCGCUGAUUCGGGAACAUUUUGCAAUUUUGGGCGGAUUUUCUAUUGGACAAAUUCUGAUAAGUCCAUCCCCGUUUUCUAUUGGACAAAUUCUGAUAAGUCCCUCCCCGUUUCGUAAUGAAUACACCCCAGGGGUUGGAACCAAAAUUCUAGAACCAGAACUCCUUUCAUUCCGCAACAAUCAGUGUGGACAGAGCAGCUUGCUAUGGGAGUGGGCAAGCUAGUUAUUUACAUGCGUGUUGGACAGACAAGUGUAGAGCGCAAGAAGCCACAUACAUUUUGUGGGCAGAGAGAGCGAGAGAGGGAGGAGCAGGCUAGUCUUGAAGAGCUGUGCAUCUUGUUGUAGCGUAUCAUUAUCUGAAUUAGACCCACAGAAUUAUACCUACGGAGGAGGAGGCUUCUAUGGAGGAACGUUGAACUUCAGUGUGUGUUCAGAGUGACACCAGCAUUAAAAACACAUCUUACCUUUCUGUAGUUAAUACAUCCGAUGUGAAACGUGAUAACUAUAGUAUCAUUGAAAAAGUGAAUCCCUUCUUCUCUAAUUAAAAAUCUCUAUCUUCUGAAUCAAACUUGAAAACGUCAGUACAGUAGUUUAUGCCUCUGGUGGGGAGGGGCUACAGCUAUGAUGCUUUUGAAGGGAGGGGCUACAGCUAUGAUGCUUAUGAGGGGGAGGGGCUACAGCUAUGAUGCUUCUGUGGGAGGGAGGGGCAGGUACUCAAAACACAAUGGAAAACAUUUUCAGCUGGGAGAGUUCUGAGUGAGAAUUAGGGCUUUGCCCUUUGUUGGCUUUAAAAAAUAUAGAUUUUAUUUUAUUCUGUUUAAAAAAAUAAGAAAAUUCUCCACAAUUUCGUUGUAUCCAAUUGGUAGUUACAGUCUUGUCCCAUCGCUGCAACUCCAGUACAGACUCGGGAGAGGCAAAGGUCGAGAGCCGUGCGUCCUCCAAAACACAACCCAGCCAAGCCGUACUGCUUCUUGACACAAUGCCCGCUUAACCCGGAAGCCAGCCGCACCAAUGUGCUGGCGACCGUGCCAGUUAACACCUGGCGACCGUGUCAGCGUGCAUUGUGUCCGGCCCGCCACAGGAGUCGCUAGUUCACGAUGGGACAACAACAUCCCUGCCGGCCAAACCCUCCCCUAACCCGGACGAUGCUGGGCCAAACCCUCCCCUAACCCGGACGAUGCUGUGCACCACCUCAUUGUUCUCCCGGUCGUGGACGAAUGCGAGCCUGGACUAGAACCAGGAUCUUUAGUGACACAGCAAGCACUGAGACAGAACCUGGACGAGAACCAGGAUCUCUAGUGACACAGCUACCACUGAGACAGAGCCUGGACUAGAACCAGGAUCUCUAUUGACACAGCUACCACUGAGACAGAACCUGGACUAGAACCAGGAUCUCUAGGCGCACAGCUCGCACUGCGAUGCCUUAGACCGAUACGCCACUCGAGAGGCCCUGUAACUGCCUGGAACUUAAUUAAAGUAAGUUCCCAGUGUUUCCAGAUUUCUAUGAAAUAUGACUUAUAAUUACUUAUAAUUACUGAUAAAUACUGUCCUUCCAAUCUUUUUUUAAAUAAAUAUGUUAAAAGCAUCUUUUCUGUGUUGGAAUGGUGUGGGCGUACCCCAACAACAGAAUAGUGUGGGUCGUACCCCAACAACAGAAUAGUGUGGGUCGUACCCCAACAACAGAAUAGUGUGGGUCGUACCCCAACAACAGAAUAGUGUGGGCGUACCCCAACAACAGAAUAGUGUGGGGCGUACCCCAACAACAGAAUAGUGUGGUCCGUACCCCAACAACAGAAUAGUGUGGGCCGUACCCCAACAACAGAAUAGUGUGGGCCGUACCCCAACAACAGAAUAGUGUGGGCGUACCCCAACAACAGAAUAGUAUGGGCGUACCCCAACAACAGAAUGGUGUGGGUCGUACCCCAACAACAGAAUGGUGUGGGUCGUACCCCAACAACAGAAUAGUGUGGGUCGUACCCCAACAACAGAAUGGUGUGGGUCGUACCCCAACAACAGAAUAGUGUGGGGCGUACCCCAACAACAGAAUAGUGUGGGGCGUACCCCAACAACAGAAUGGUGUGGGU
ensembl:lncRNA